rnacentral:rRNA from 1 species
GACGAACGCUGGCGGCGUGCUUAGCACAUGCAAGUCGAACGGAAAGGCCCUGCUUUUGUGGGGUGCUCGAGCGGCGAACGGGUGAGUAACACGUGAGUAACCUGCCCUUGACUUUGGGAUAACUUCAGGAAACUGGGGCUAAUACCGGAUAGGAGCUCCUGCUGCAUGGUGGGGGUUGGAAAGUUUCGGCGGUUGGGGAUGGACUCGCGGCUUAUCAGCUUGUUGGUGGGGUAGUGGCUUACCAAGGCUUUGACGGGUAGCCGGCCUGAGAGGGUGACCGGCCACAUUGGGACUGAGAUACGGCCCAGACUCCUACGGGAGGCAGCAGUGGGGAAUAUUGCACAAUGGGCGGAAGCCUGAUGCAGCAACGCCGCGUGCGGGAUGACGGCCUUCGGGUUGUAAACCGCUUUCGCCUGUGACGAAGCGUGAGUGACGGUAAUGGGUAAAGAAGCACCGGCUAACUACGUG